AUCACCUGGGCAUUUUGUUUGAGAACAGAUUCUGAUUCAGCAAGUCUGGGACAAGAGAUUCUGCAUUUCUAACAAGUUGCCAAGAGAUGCCAGU
rnacentral:pre_miRNA from 1 species